UACGGAGGGGGUUAGCGUUGUUCGGAAUGACUGGGCGUAAAGCGCACGUAGGCGGCUUUGUAAGUUAGAGGUGAAAGCCCGGGGCUCAACUCCGGAACUGCCUUUAAGACUGCAUCGCUUGAAUCCAGGAGAGGUGAGUGGAAUUCCGAGUGUAGAGGUGAAAUUCGUAGAUAUUCGGAAGAACACCAGUGGCGAAGGCGGCUCACUGGACUGGUAUUGACGCUGAGGUGCGAAAGCGUGGGGAGCAAACAGG
rnacentral:rRNA from 1 species